rnacentral:rRNA from 1 species
CACGCUGGCGGCGUGCCUAAUACAUGCAAGUCGAACGCUUCUUUCCUCCCGAGUGCUUGCACUCAAUUGGAAAGAGGAGUGGCGGACGGGUGAGUAACACGUGGGUAACCUACCCAUCAGAGGGGGAUAACACUUGGAAACAGGUGCUAAUACCGCAUAACAGUUUAUGCCGCAUGGCAUAAGAGUGAAAGGCGCUUUCGGGUGUCGCUGAUGGAUGGACCCGCGGUGCAUUAGCUAGUUGGUGAGGUAACGGCUCACCAAGGCCACGAUGCAUAGCCGACCUGAGAGGGUGAUCGGCCACACUGGGACUGAGACACGGCCCAGACUCCUACGGGAGGCAGCAGUAGGGAAUCUUCGGCAAUGGACGAAAGUCUGACCGAGCAACGCCGCGUGAGUGAAGAAGGUUUUCGGAUCGUAAAACUCUGUUGUUAGAGAAGAACAAGGACGUUAGUAACUGAACGUCCCCUGACGGUAUCUAACCAGAAAGCCACGGCUAACUACGUG